rnacentral:rRNA from 1 species
CCCCGGGGAAACUCGGGACAAUACCGCAUAUGGUUUCCUGGGCUCGGGCCCGGGAGAGCAAAGCCGGGGAUCGCAAGACCUGGCGCAUUCCGAGGGGACCGCGGCCGAUUAGCUAGUUGGCGGGGUAAUGGCCCACCAAGGCAACGAUCGGUAGCCGGCCUGAGAGGGUGAUCGGCCACACCGGAACUGAGACACGGUCCGGACUCCUACGGGAGGCAGCAGUGGGGAAUUUUGCGCAAUGGGCGAAAGCCUGACGCAGCAACGCCGCGUGGAGGAUGAAGGUUCUCUGAAUCGUAAACUCCUGUCGGCCGGGAAGAAUGGUCGGGACGCUAAUCAAUCCCGAUUUGACUGUACCGGCAAAGGAAGCCCCGGCUAACUCCGUGCCAGCAGCCGCGGUAAUCGGGGGGGGCAAGCGUUACUCGGAAUUAUUGGGCGUAAAGGGCGCGUA